UAGGGAAUCUUCGGCAAUGGACGAAAGUCUGACCGAGCAACGCCGCGUGAGUGAAGAAGGUUUUCGGAUCGUAAAACUCUGUUGUUAGAGAAGAACAAGUGGGAGAGUAACUGUUCCCACCUUGACGGUAUCUAACCAGAAAGCCACGGCUAACUACGUGCCAGCAGCCGCGGUAAUACGUAGGUGGCAAGCGUUGUCCGGAUUUAUUGGGCGUAAAGCGAGCGCAGGCGGUUUCUUAAGUCUGAUGUGAAAGCCCUCGGCUCAACCGAGGAAGGUCAUUGGAAACUGGGGAACUUGAAUGCAGAAGAGGAGAGUGGAAUUCCAUGUGUAGCGGUGAAAUGCGUAGAUAUAUGGAGGAACACCAGUGGCGAAGGCGACUCUCUGGUCUGUAAUUGACGCUGAGGCUCGAAAGCGUGGGGAGCAAACA
rnacentral:rRNA from 1 species